AUAUAUAAUCGUUUUAUCUCUUACUAAGUAAGCUUUCGUGGAAUUGAGAGGAUGUUUGUAGUGUACAAGACGAGCUCACUAGUGGCUUCUCUUGAAACGAGUUUCUUUGAAUCAUCUCUGGACCUGUUGACACAAUUCCCAGUUAUCUUUUUGUGCUCUUGAGCCAAAGCACGUACUUGUGAAUAAAUCUAGAUUUUGAAGGUACUUGUGUUAUACUAAGUUAGCGGUCCUCACUUCUGAAUACUUGAUAAUAAUUGUCCUGGUAAAGAGCAUAAGGUUAUCUGAAAUACGUCUUCCGCAUUCACUAAAGACUGGAAGCUGCGAGUCGCAUUGCCGACAUUUCCGGUGUUGGGAAUUUCGCAUCCGGUUCAAAAUUAGCGAACAUAAUUACACAUUGUUACCCAUUUGUCAAUCCAGAACUGUUACCAGUCCAUAUUGUAUUGAGGGUGGAUUAAGGAAAAGCUUUUCGACAGUUCGAUGACUUCUCAAAAAAGUUCUAUAUUUGGUAAAUGGAUUUACUUCUCAAACUUCCACAAGGUACACUAAGUAUAUCCCGGUCUAUUCCACUUUAUCCCACUUUCUCCUCCUAUCCCUUAUCUGUUAAGCCCGAGGUGUCACAGGGCUUUAUGCAGCUAGCACGCCCAUUCAUUUAGCAAUCUGUGCGUGCACAAGGUCCCCUUUUUACUUGUUUGUGUCCAUUCAAAUUUUCUACUAAUUUGUAUUGUUUUAUCAAAACGCGGAAACUGGAGAAUAAAUAAGGUUUGUUCCAUUUUAUUUUGUAAUUCUAUGAUCAAUAUUCAAAAUAUCUUAAGUUUAUGAAUCUACACUGGAAUGUCUCUGUGACUUUAUAUGUCAAUAUUCAUUUUCUACUAUAUGGCAGUGGAAUUUGUAAACUGGAAUAAUUGAAUAAAUGUGAUAUUCGCUACAAUAAACAGUCUUUUCGAUUUUUGUUUUAUUUUGAGGCAUUUUUAUGAUGGAGAAGCUAAAUGAAUAAGUAUAAACACACCAUAUCCUGUGAUAUCGGGGCAGACUGCUGGCGAUUUGUUUCCUUUCGUGACAUCCGUAUGAGGAAUAGAGUGAGGGUGUAUUUAGAUUUUACACCUACUGAACUGUAUUGAGUAGAUGUCAAUCGAUCGUGUUUGUCAUCACCGCAUGCAGCAAAUGGGUAUGCACAUGCAUUAGAAAACUCCAGGUUGCAGCCGGUAUGGGUCUUAAAGACGUUUUAUUUUUUGGUACACCAUGGCAGGAAGAAACAGUCGGAUUGCUGACACAGAACAUUGGGGUCGAUUAAGUCUGCGCAACAUCUGCCUUGAUAGAUUUUUAAUGUUUGAUUUUCUUUCACUCAGAACUUUAUUUUCAUAGUUUCCACAAAGCGUUGUGUGUUGAUGUCGACUAAGAUAAGUUGUAAGUAAGAAAAGCAACAGGAUGUUUGAAAUUAAACUGUGUAUCAAAUUCGUACCGUGAUAUUCUAUAUGCAUGUCUCCAUCUUCUAUCAAUGGUCUGAGGAUCGGACCUGUCAGGAAAAGAUGAUACCUCUUUGUCAAUCCCAGCAAAAAAGGUGCUUUCCAUUGAAAAGUCCGAUAAUUCCCGCGCAAAGAAUUAUAUUUGCAAGUCAAUCUAUUGCUGGUUGACAUUUGCUUUGAAGCUUCUGCACUCCCCCGCUUCUUAGCAUAUUAAUGCUGUGCAAUAUUUCGAGUCGUUAAGUUGCAGGUUUUUAGGUCCACUCCCACAUAGGUGUCAGUUGUCAAAAUUUCUGCAGAGUUUCCGUUAGUUGUUCGGUAAGAUUCGAAUAUUGAAUUUUUUUUUCAAAACUAAUAUUCAAAAAUGAUGAUUUGAUAUUUUUAAGGAAAUUGAUUUUUUCUAACAAGGUAGAAGUGUUUUGCCACAGUAAAAAAAAAGAAAGACUUAAUAUUGUUGUCAUUGCUAAUGCACAGCGAUGCUUUUUAACUUCUAUUUAAUAUGACAAUUAUAGGGUACUUUAAGAAAAGAAAACCUUGGAAAGAUCAUUAAUCAAGAAAUAUGAGAAUGUUUGCUAACAUUCAUUUACGGUGGAAAAAAACUUUUUAAACUGCGUUUGUUUAUCGCAGUUAAAAUGAAGUUAUAAGGAAGUAAUAAAUAAUGGAGUUAUGUAAUUGAAUAUAGGUUUCCGCUGUUUGAAUGUUUGGUUUAGAAAUUAUUGGAACGUUGACGCGAAUUUGGACAAUCCCAUAGAAUACCCUAUCAUUUCCCCGUUGAAAUUCCUCGGUCGGGGACCAUUGGCAUUCGCCAAUCUUUUUGACUGUGCAGAUAACUCUGAAAAGUUUGCAUAUUUGGAUUUUUUCAAGUCUUUAUAUGGUCUGUCUGCUUGAUAAGAAAACUCUACCACAAUGUUUCCUCUGUCGGAAAUCAAAUAAAGAAAUUCAACCAAACACCCGCUCGGUGAAGGCAUGGUGUGAUACCUAAUGAACAGGCAAUUCGGGGAAUGCUCGGCAAGCAUAGCCUGAACACACAUUCUUGGCAGAGGACAGGCAGAAAAACUUUAAACCCUUGUGUGACACGACAUUGAAAGAGUUUUUUUAUUGCGACGAAUUUUCCUGACUUCAGGUGUGCAAAAACCAGUUUCGUCAACUCUCUAUCAUACUAUCUGUAUGAAAGUAUCUUUUUAAUUAAUUAAACACCUUUUAAGGUCAAGGUUAAAUGAAAAAAAAAACAGUUAUAAUCCUGUUCUUUGGUUUGCUAUAAGUUGCUCUCACAUUUGCGUUCUUUCUCUUUUGUAGGUGGCGGAAUACAAUCUUUCUCAAAUUGAAGCACAGAAUGGACAAUGCACCAGUGAUCCAUGUAUAAAGUAUCAAACACUGCAUACAUGACAAAAGGUUAUUAGAUGAUAGUGGUGAAUAUAUAUCUAUCAUCCGAUAGGACUUAGGUCAAAACAAGCUGCAGACGACACCCGUUCUCUGUACCAUCAUACUCCCGCGCCGAUAAUGAGCAAUGCCGAAAAUUGUACCGUAAAAGUGAAAGAAAAGACCCGUAUCAUCUUGAAUGCAGACUAGACAAGAUAAAAAAGGCAAUUGUUCAUAAGUAGUGUACAGGGCAUAUACAGUUUUACUGAUAUGUCGGUGCUUCAGUGGGAAUGAGAAGGAUAGAAAUCGGAAAGACCUUAAAUCUACACGCCAUCCGUUCCGUAACAUAUUAGCCAGGAAUAUGGAAGGAAGGUUGUUAACACUGUGCAGCAGAGAGACAAAUGGAGGAUUGUGGGCACAGACUUUAUUACUUUAAUCAGUGAGCAUAAGGUAUCAUCCGAUGCCGAUGGCGAAGAAACGGCGAAGAUGACAAUAAACUGGCUGCAAAGGAGGGCUGCAAUUAUAAAACACGAAAUAUGUGUUAUAGUUACGACAGCUUUCGUUGUGUGAUCGAUUGAGCUUUUGUGUCAUUUGUCCAAAAAUGAAAUAAAGGAAAAAAGAAAACGAACGACAAUACAAUCUAGCUAAAUCGUUUAUAGAUUUAGAUACAUAGAUAUUCUAAAUGUGAAAUACAUAUGUGGAAGUAAUGCUCAAAAUGUGUGAUGGGGUUUCAAGUCCUCUCGAGAAUAUUUUAUUUUUUAACAGACCAUAAAAAUUGUCUAUAAAACUUUAUUUAUAUUAUGAUGAUAUUUGUAAAAAGCAAUAACAAUUUAAACUGGUUUGCAAUCAGAACCGGUAAAAGAAAACUUUUCUUUGAGAAAGCUGGGAGCGUAAGAGGAGCAAGGUUUCAUUACAAACAAUUAGACACAUGUCAGAAUGAUAAUAAUAAACCUAUCCUAUUUACAGUUCUACAUGAGAACAUGCAUAAUUUAACAUGCAAGACGAGACUCGGGGAUUAAUGAAGGCCUAAUAAACUCGGGUCUCCGUAAUGUGUUCACAUGGUCAUCCGCACACCCCAGACAGAUUAUAUCUAUAACCCAAUCGUCACCGCUCGUUUGCCGCGAACUAGUGACAAAGACCUUUUAAAACAGUCUACGUCUAAUUAAAUCCACAUUUUUACUUGCCGGUAACUUACAUGACACCGAAGCCAUAAUCUCCAUGUCACUUUGGAGAUCAGACGCGGUUGACUUUUAAAUCUCUGCCAAAGACUGCAGCUCGUGCAAAAAACGAAAUGACUUGAAGAAAAAGUUAAAUAAACCGUUCCCAGACGGUCCUGUCUUUGGUAGACCGUUGAUAUAUAUCAUUAGGCUUUUAUUACGGCUAUAACUCGAUAUGUGUAAAAUCUGUGCUUUGGGUGAUAGACUACACGAAAAACCCGACUUUAUGUUGGAAUCAGAUUUGAUUUUUGAAUGGACUUUUUGAAUAUUUGAAAUUAAUAUUUUUCCCAAAGUUAAUACAGUUCCACCCUAUUUGACCCAGUUGAUGGGAUGUUGUUUGUUUUGAUCCCCUUUCACAUAACCUGUUUAUCAAUGACGGACUGUUGAAAAACGGAUAUGCUUUAAUAUUUCAUUAUCCUCACUUUGAUAAAACAUGGUUUUCUGAGAGGGUCCUAUGUUUGGAGCUAUCAUGCCCCGGACAAUAACUUUCUUUGUAUACCCCUGCUCUCGACCCCUGUAGCAGACUACUUAUAAAGCACGUAUCUAUAACCUUCAAACCUGCAAUUUCGAUAGAAAGAUUUAGAGAUAAAAUUCUGGUUUGCAAUCGUAGAUUAUCUAACAUUCACGUCAACCGGUCAUUCGGUAAUCACUCAAAAAAGAAGGACUGCGCAACAUCUGGUGCUCGAUAGCCAUAUUGCAACAUAAAGCAGUUUGCUUAAUAAUUAAAACCAAAUUAUAAGAAGCAUAUUUUGACCCAAACAGCCCAACAAGAUUGGCACUGAUAUUCUAUACAAUUAUUAAACAACAUGACAUGUAGUGGAGUUUUACUCGGCAAAAUUGAAUUAUAUAAAAAGUUGAAGAAUAAAUCAUCAUUUUUACUAUGUAAACUGUAACUUUCUAACUUAUUUGACAUUCAUAUUUAACGACAUUGAACACAUCAAUCAAUUAAUCAGUAAGGUCAAGAAUAUAUUCAAUAUAGGUCUACCCAAAUAUACACGAGCUAUUUGAUAAACAUGUAUGGGACAUGUCGGAAUCAUAAGAAAUUUAUCUAAAAACGAUGGCAUCUAGGCCAAUUGGACAAUUUCAAUAUGUGAAACAGAAAACCCUUGCUCUUUUAUUUUCCUGCCCUUCUCACUGUCUGUGGUUUACAUAUGAUAUUUCACGUGUUUACACGAGUGCGUACCGGCCAAACAAUUUUUACAGUUUGCUUCUAUAAUAUUUCAUACCAGACUUUUAGAAACCCCAUUGAAAUCAUCUUAAAUAUUUAAAAAGUCAACACCAACGUCAAAACAUAUACAAUUUGGUGUUGGUAACGUUACUCCAACACAUGUCAUAUAUUUUAGAAGACAAUAUGACCCCAUCCCAAAGACUGAAGAAUUGACGAAGGUUCAUGGUCUGAAACACACCUUGUGGUUUUGGAGACAUUCAUUAUUCAAAACGCGUGUAAUAUGACAGAUGUAAAUUUCAUAAAGCAUGUCUACUACAUAUAAAUAAGCGAAAGGUUAUUUUCGUUUUCCAGAAAUGUGACCCGAAAGGGAAAUACUAUAUUUCGACAUUCAAUAUUUGGACAAAUGACACAAUAUGAUUUUAACGCUGCGACUAUCGUAAUUCCUCAAAAAAAUAUUUGUCAGCCUCGACUACAUAAAUUAUAAAGGUAACAUGCAAUCAUAAGUACAGUGUUUGGUGAUUGAAUAUCAGCAAUACUUAGAGGUCAUAUCAAGGUUGAAUACAUGCAUAUAUAGGUGCUUGUUCCUUUUCAUUAUUAGAUAAAUGUCAGUUUUAUUUAGUAAAUACCCGGAGCCAAUUGGCGUCAUUCUCGUGUGAUAAAUUACUGUUUUCUUUCUAUCAUAAAGAGAAUUUUUUCACCGGGUCGGGUUUCUUUCCUUAAAAUGUUGCGUAUCACAUUUUUCUGAAUCAAGUCUAUUUUGAUUUGCUGAUGGUUCAUGCAUUAUGGUAUGACU